rnacentral:tRNA from 1 species
GGAGGUGUGGCUCAAGUGGUGAAGUGUCUGCUUGGCAAGCACAAAGCCCUGAGUUCAAACCCCAGGACCACCA